AUGCGCCUUGUGUAGCACUGUGGGUACAGUCACUUAACUGGAUAUCGCCGCAAACGACACCGUGCUAGUUUGGAUUUUACUGUGUUUGUAAGUAAUGCGGAGAAGGGUCAAGUUGUAAUUUUUGGAAGAAAACAACAAGAUGGCAGAUUAGAUUCUCGGAACGCAUGUCGGGAAAGCGUGUGCACGUGAAGGAAGCAGCAGUCGCGGAUGAAGGUUUGCAUGACACGGGGCCAGAGGCACAGGAGCUCGUUCAGGUCAUCGAGUAUCGUGGAAGUAACAUGGAUAAGAACAACGAAAAU